CUUAUCGGGGAAGGGUGAGAACCUUCGAUUAAGGUUCGACUCGAGCGAAAGCGAGAGAACGUUGCCAACGGCAACGGCCCGUAGGGUGAGGAGCGAAGCGACGAAUAAUCCUUCCCCCACCACCA
rnacentral:sRNA from 1 species